ACAGAUGAAGGCGACUAUCAGGUCAAACUACGCAACCUGGUUCGUUUUCUGGAAGAUGGCGAUAAAGCCAAAAUCACCCUGCGUUUUCGUGGGCGUGAAAUGGCGCACCAACAGAUUGGUGUCGAAAUGCUUAACCGUAUUCGCGACGAUCUGGAUGAACUGGCAGUGGUCGAAUCCUUCCCAUCGAAGAUUGAAGGCCGUCAGAUGAUAAUGGUGCUCGCUCCUAAGAAGAAAUAGUCAGGCAAUCAAGUAAUAAGCUCCAGUCGGUUCGUCUGGUUGGGGCUUAUUCGCCUUACUGAUUCGUUGUAAUUAACAAUGCGAAGUGGAAAUUAAAAUGCCAA
rnacentral:lncRNA from 1 species